rnacentral:rRNA from 1 species
UACAGAGGGGGCAAGCGUUGUUCGGAAUUACUGGGCGUAAAGGGCGCGUAGGCGGCCUUCUAAGUCGAACGUGAAAUCCCUGGGCUCAACCCAGGAACUGCGUCCGAUACUGGAAGGCUUGAAUCCGGGAGAGGGAUGCGGAAUUCCAGGUGUAGCGGUGAAAUGCGUAGAUAUCUGGAGGAACACCGGUGGCGAAGGCGGCAUCCUGGACCAAUACUGACGCUGAGGAGCGAAAGCCAGGGGAGCAAACGGG